GUGCAGGCUGAUCAGCGAGGUUGAGUCUGUAGUGACUCUGUCCUUUCCUGUAUGUCUGCUAGAGGAACUGAGGUGGUUUGAAGCUUUAACUGGUGUUUGUACAGUGAGGCUAUAGAAACCUCACACAUCC